rnacentral:misc_RNA from 1 species
UGGCUCUCGCAUCGAUGAAGAACGCAGCGAAAUGCGAUAAGUAAUGUGAAUUGCAGAAUUCAGUGAAUCAUCGAAUCUUUGAACGCACCUUGCGCCCUUUGGUAUUCCGAAGAGCAUGCCUGUUUGAGUGUCAUUAAAUUCUCAAAACCAAUAGUUUUUGCUAUUGGCUUUUGGACUUUGAGGGUUAUUGCUGGUGCAAGCCGGCUCCCUUUAAAUGUAUUAGCUGGCAUUGACUGCCAGACUAUGGUGUGAUAAUUAUCUACGCUAUUGGUCUGUGUACGUUGGCUGCUUACAAUCGUCUUCGGACAACACAUUGACAAUUUGACCUCAAAUCAGGUAGGACUACCCGCUGA